GACCCAGUGUGGUGUAGUGGUUUGAGCGUUGGACUAGGAUUCUGGAGACCAGGGUUCAAUUCCCAGCUCGGCCA
rnacentral:tRNA from 1 species